CCUACGGGGGGCUGCAGUGGGGAAUAUUGGGCAAUGGGCGCAAGCCUGACCCAGCAACGCCGCGUGAAGGAAGAAGGCUUUCGGGUUGUAAACUUCUUUUAGCAGGGACGAAAACAAUGACUGUACCUGCAGAAUAAGCUCCGGCUAACUACGUGCCAGCAGCCGCGGUAAUACGUAGGGAGCAAGCGUUAUCCGGAUUUACUGGGUGUAAAGGGCGCGUAGGCGGGAUGGUAAGUCAGAUGUGAAAUCUGGGGGCUCAACCCCCAAACUGCAUUUGAAACUACUGUUCUUGAGUGAUGGAGAGGCAAGUGGAAUUCCUAGUGUAGCGGUGAAAUGCGUAGAUAUUAGGAGGAACACCAGUGGCGAAGGCGACUUGCUGGACAUUAACUGACGCUGAGGCGCGAAAGCGUGGGGAGCAAACAGGAUUAGAUACCCCAGUAGUC
rnacentral:rRNA from 1 species